CUCCAGUUGCAAUCUUGUUGAUUCCCUCGAUGGCUUCUGCCGCCGCGAAAGCCCAGCUACCAUCUUUCCAUCCAUGCCAUAAUAUAAAUAUAAAGUGAGAAAGCAGGAUUGAAGCUGAAGUCCAAGACUUACUCUGGCAUCCUUUGCGAUCUUUCACAGGUGUGACAGCCCCCAAAGUCCUCCAGUCGAUGGAUUUGGGGACAGAGUCGACGUCGCCAAACAUUCGGAUCCCUGCAUCCCCCUCCAGAGUACUAUC
rnacentral:lncRNA from 1 species